CAGUCGCCACGGGAAAACGGAGGGAGCUAGCGUUGCUCGGAAUGACUGGGCGUAAAGCGUGCGCAGGCGGCUAUGCAAGACAGAUGUGAAAUCCCCGGGCUCAACCUGGGAACUGCAUUUGUGACUGCAUGGCUAGAGUACGGUAGAGGGGGAUGGAAUUCCGCGUGUAGCAGUGAAAUGCGUAGAUAUGCGGAGGAACACCGAUGGCGAAGGCAAUCCCCUGGACCUGUACUGACGCUCAUGCACGAAAGCGUGGGGAGUAAACAGGAUUAGAUACCCGUGUAGUCCCUGUCUCUUAUAA
rnacentral:rRNA from 1 species